rnacentral:misc_RNA from 1 species
GAAAUGCGAUAAGUAGUGUGAAUUGCAGAAUUCAGUGAAUCAUCGAAUCUUUGAACGCACAUUGCGCCCCUUGGUAUUCCAUGGGGCAUGCCUGUUCGAGCGUCAUUUGUACCCUCAAGCUCUGCUUGGUGUUGGGUGUUUGUCCCCGUCUUCGCGCGUGGACUCGCCCCAAAGUGAUUGGCAGCCGGCGUACUGGUCCCGGAGCGCAGCACAUGUCGCGCAAACGAGUGCCUUGGUACGGCGGCGUCCAUAAGCCCCUCUCUCACGCUCUUGACCUCGGAUCAGGUAGGGAUACCCGCUGAACUUAAGC